rnacentral:lncRNA from 1 species
GUGGGAUCACAACUGCUGUAAAUUAGACAAUUGUAGCAACAAUCCAAGACAAUAACAGAAUGCCUAUGACAGUCUGCCAUAUUCUGGUGAGUGUCUAUCAAAGCUCAUCAUGAUUUUUUGUGAGAUCUUCCCCGUAAUUGGUAGCUUGGCUUCCGACAAACAUGUUCCAGUUCUCCAAUAUUUCCUCUUUAGUUAGCUUCUCAUCCUUGUUUUUGUCUGAUUCAUAUACCAGAUGCCUGGCCUCAGCCUGUGCAUGAUCAUAAUCUUGAGGGAGGAUCCAGUGGCGAAUCUCAUCUUUGUCUAACUUCCCGUCCUUGUUCAGAUCCCGGAAUUCGUUAAACUGCUCCCGUUCUGAUAAAACCCAGUCUGGCUCAGGGCCAUUCUCCUCAUGGGAAAACAUAUCCGCAAUAUACUCAUCCUGAUCCACAAACCCAUCCCCGUUCUUGUCGAUGUCCUCCAGGGUUUCCUAGGAAGCAAAAGGUAAAACAGAAUGCAAGAUGGCCAUGUGCUCUAAGAAGUCUGAGAAUUCUAUUGUCCUCAUUUGUCCAGCUUUUACGGCUGAAUGCUUGGUGACUUCUGGCUCAUCGCCUUACUUCCCUGGGAACUAGUUUUUUAUCUGUAAAAAACAGGCAAUAGUUUCUGUUCCUAAUCCCCCACCCCAGUUUCCAGAGCAGAAUGCUUUCUUCAAAGCAAGCAAGAUGUACCUGUAACCCCAGAGGUGCUCUGACGAUAUCAGGAGGCCCUGCCAGGCCAACUAACUCCACCAUCCAGCCAA